CACGUACUGUGCGAACGUUAUUCGGAAUCACUGGGCUUAAAGGGUGCGUAGGCGGCCUUGUCAGUCAGGUGUGAAAUCCCACGGCUCAACCGUGGAACUGCGCUUGAAACUGCAAGGCUUGAGUGAGACAGGGGUGUGUGGAACUUCUAGUGGAGCGGUGAAAUGUGUUGAUAUUAGAAGGAACACCGGUGGCGAAAGCGACACACUGGGUCUUAACUGACGCUGAGGCACGAAAGCCAGGGGAGCGAACG
rnacentral:rRNA from 1 species